rnacentral:rRNA from 1 species
CUACGGGCGGCUCCAGUGGGGAAUAUUGCACAAUGGGCGCAAGCCUGAUGCAGCCAUGCCGCGUGUAUGAAGAAGGCCUUCGGGUUGUAAAGUACUUUCAGCGGGGAGGAAGGGAGUAAAGUUAAUACCUUUGCUCAUUGACGUUACCCGCAGAAGAAGCACCGGCUAACUCCGUGCCAGCAGCCGCGGUAAUACGGAGGGUGCAAGCGUCAAUCGGAAUUACUGGGCGUAAAGCGCACGCAGGCGGUUUGUUAAGUCAGAUGUGAAAUCCCCGGGCUCAACCUGGGAACUGCAUCUGAUACUGGCAAGCUCGAGCCUCGUAGAGGGGGGUAGAAUUCCAGGUGUAGCGGUGAAAUGCGUAGAGAUCUGGAGGAAUACCGGUGGCGAAGGCGGCCCCCUGGACGAAGACUGACGCUCAGGUGCGAAAGCGUGGGGAGCAAACAGGAUUAGAUACCCGAGUAGUC